AAAAACGACCAUUAAAAAAAUUGAGAAAACGAAAUGUAGUUGAUGGUUCGAAAGAAGCACUCACCGAAGGAAGAGCACUCAGUUGAAAAAAAAAGAGAAUAUCAAAGAAAAACUGAGCAAUUGAAAAAGAAAAGAAUAAAACAUAGUGAAAAGAAUAUUAACAUUGGCUCUGAACCCAAAACCACUUGUUUUCCUUUUUGUUUGUAUUUACCACACCAUAAACC
rnacentral:lncRNA from 1 species